rnacentral:rRNA from 1 species
UACGGAGGAUCCAAGCGUUAUCCGGAAUCAUUGGGUUUAAAGGGUCCGUAGGCGGUUUGGUAAGUCAGUGGUGAAAGCCCAUCGCUCAACGGUGGAACGGCCAUUGAUACGUGCCAGACUUGAAUUAUUAGGAAGUAACUAGAAUAUGUAGUGUAGCGGUGAAAUGCUUAGAGAUUACAUGGAAUACCAAUUGCGAAGGCAGGUUACUACUAAUGGAUUGACGCUGAUGGAACGAAAGGCGUGGGGUAGCGAACAGG